UUUCUUCAUAUUUUCUCAUCCAAAACGCCAUAGAAGGUCUGGAGAAAUCUGGUUUUUCAUAUUUUUACAUCAUGUGAGUUUAAUUCUUACUUUUCUUGAUAAUUUUUAUGUUUUUAUGACUUUUACAAUUAGGUCCACUUGUAGAAUUCAUUAGUUUUUUAUUUUAUGGGUGAAAUUGGAAGUUACCCUGGAUGGAUAAGGGAAUUUUAUGAUGAAUUAUUAUGAAAUUUAAGUUCUAAUUUCAUAUUAAGGUGGUUUUAUUAAGUGAUUUUGAUAGGAAAUGAUAUUUAGGACCUAAUUGUGAAAAAGUUGUGAAUUGAAGGUUUCUGUUGAAAUUAAGAAUAUAAAAGGUUUUGAAAUAGUUUAUAAUGAUAAAAUAAAGUGUUAAUUGAGAAAAAUUAGUUCAAUUGAUGGGUGAAUUGAGCAGGGACUAAAUUGUGAAAACUGUAAAUUUUGGGGUAAAAGUGCAAUUUCGAAAUUUGAACAGCAUAAAUUGUGUGAAGUGAAAUAGAAUUGAAAUGGAUGCUAAUGAAGGAAUGAUUUUAUAAUUAUAGAUCAAGAAAACGAACUGAAUCGUGGAAAGGAGAAAAUUCAAGAAUAGUCCCUGAAUUUCUACGACUUUUGCAAAUUAGUCCAGGUAAGUUCAUAUGGCAAAGUUCAAUGUUUUGAUAUGAAAAUCUUAUGAUUGUUAAAGUAUUUUAUUGUUGAUGAAUACUAUCAAUUUGCACUAACUAAUGAAUAAUGUGUAACUAAAAGUACAAAUUAGUAGGAACAAUGGAUUUCAGUGCUUCUAUUCUGUGACCCUGAUGAAUUGACGAAAUAUAUGUGAUAAGUGUGCCCGUUUAAGACCAUAGCUGGGCUAUGGCAUCGGUGCAAUGUGAUAAUGUGACUCCGUAUAAGACCAUAGCUGGGCUAUGGCAUCGGUAUAAUGUGAUAAUGUGAUUCCGUAUAAGACCAUGUCUGGGAUAUGGCUUCGGUAUGAUAUGUGAACCGUGUAAGACCAUGGCAAGGCUAUGGCUUCAGUGUGUGAUGAGUAACAAUGUGAAAGUCCAUAGUUUACUAUGGCAAUGUGAUAAUGAAGCACUCAAUUCCCUUAUUGUUCCUUAAAUUGACAAUGAAGUAAAUGAGAAAUGGGCCUAAAGGAGUUAAAUUGUGAGUAGCCAUAUGGAAAUUAUUCCAAUGAGUUAUUAAUGAAAUUGUGAUUUGGAGGAUGAAAUAGUUAAACUAAUAGAUAUAAGAUUGUGUACGAUAUUUGAUAUGAUUUGUGUUUAUAUGCCUAUAAGCUUACUAAGCUUCAAUAAGCUUACUUGUGUGUGUUUAAUAUUUUUAUGUAGAUUGACUUGAAGUGAAGUGGGUAGAUCGGAUCAACACAACAGGACACACUAUUCAGAUCAAUUCUGGUAGUUUUUGUUUUAUGUUUAAAGAUUUAUAUGGCAUGUAUAAAGUUUGAAUGAAUUGAAGUAAAGAUGUUAUGAACUAGUUAACAAUAUUUGUACUAAAACAGUUUUUGGUAAGUAGCAGUAGUUUGACUUUGAAAAUUCACCAUAAAUUGUGGAAAUUGAGUUAAGGGCUGGGAAAAAAAUGAGAUUAAAGCCUAAUGAGUCUAGUUUCAUAUAGAGGAAACGGUGCAUGCAAUUGGAUUUUAUGUUAUGAGAUAUUUAAAUUGUGG
rnacentral:lncRNA from 1 species